rnacentral:rRNA from 1 species
GUACACAAAAAUGCACAUAUUGUGAGCUCGAUGAGUAGGGCGGGACACGUGGUAUCCUGUCUGAAUAUGGGGGGACCAUCCUCCAAGGCUAAAUACUCCUGACUGACCGAUAGUGAACCAGUACCGUGAGGGAAAGGCGAAAAGAACCCCGGCGAGGGGAGUGAAAAAGAACCUGAAACCGUGUACGUACAAGCAGUGGGAGCCUCUUUAUGGGGUGACUGCGUACCUUUUGUAUAAUGGGUCAGCGACUUAUAUUCUGUAGCAAGGUUAACCGAAUAGGGGAGCCGAAGGGAAACCGAGUCUUAACUGGGCGUUAAGUUGCAGGGUAUAGACCCGAAACCCGGUGAUCUAGCCAUGGGCAGGUUGAAGGUUGGGUAACACUAACUGGAGGACCGAACCGACUAAUGUUGAAAAAUUAGCGGAUGACUUGUGGCUGGGGGUGAAAGGCCAAUCAAACCGGGAGAUAGCUGGUUCUCCCCGAAAGCUAUUUAGGUAGCGCCUCGUGAAUUCAUCUCCGGGGGUAGAGCACUGUUUCGGCAAGGGGGUCAUCCCGACUUACCAACCCGAUGCAAACUGCGAAUACCGGAGAAUGUUAUCACGGGAGACACACGGCGGGUGCUAACGUCCGUCGUGAAGAGGGAAACAACCCAGACCGCCAGCUAAGGUCCCAAAGUCAUGGUUAAGUGGGAAACGAUGUGGGAAGGCCCAGACAGCCAGGAUGUUGGCUUAGAAGCAGCCAUCAUUUAAAGAAAGCGUAAUAGCUCACUGGUCGAGUCGGCCUGCGCGGAAGAUGUAACGGGGCUAAACCAUGCACCGAAGCUGCGGCAGCGACACUAUGUGUUGUUGGGUAGGGGAGCGUUCUGUAAGCCUGUGAAGGUGGCCUGUGAGGGUUGCUGGAGGUAUCAGAAGUGCGAAUGCUGACAUAAGUAACGAUAAAGCGGGUGAAAAGCCCGCUCGCCGGAAGACCAAGGGUUCCUGUCCAACGUUAAUCGGGGCAGGGUGAGUCGACCCCUAAGGCGAGGCCGAAAGGCGUAGUCGAUGGGAAACAGGUUAAUAUUCCUGUACUUGGUGUUACUGCGAAGGGGGGACGGAGAAGGCUAUGUUGGCCGGGCGACGGUUGUCCCGGUUUAAGCGUGUAGGCUGGUUUUCCAGGCAAAUCCGGAAAACCAAGGCUGAGGCGUGAUGACGAGGCACUACGGUGCUGAAGCGACAAAUGCCCUGCUUCCAGGAAAAGCCUCUAAGCAUCAGGUAACAUCAAAUCGUACCCCAAACCGACACAGGUGGUCAGGUAGAGAAUACCAAGGCGCUUGAGAGAACUCGGGUGAAGGAACUAGGCAAAAUGGUGCCGUAACUUCGGGAGAAGGCACGCUGAUAUGUAGGUGAAGCGACUUGCUCGUGGAGCUGAAAUCAGUCGAAGAUACCAGCUGGCUGCAACUGUUUAUUAAAAACACAGCACUGUGCAAACACGAAAGUGGACGUAUACGGUGUGACGCCUGCCCGGUGCCGGAAGGUUAAUUGAUGGGGUUAGCGGUAACGCGAAGCUCUUGAUCGAAGCCCCGGUAAACGGCGGCCGUAACUAUAACGGUCCUAAGGUAGCGAAAUUCCUUGUCGGGUAAGUUCCGACCUGCACGAAUGGCGUAAUGAUGGCCAGGCUGUCUCCACCCGAGACUCAGUGAAAU